rnacentral:rRNA from 1 species
UAGGGAAUAUUGCAAAAUGGGCGAAAGCCCGAUGCAGCAACGCCGCGUGGGCGAUGAAGGCCUUCGGGUCGUAAAGCCCUUUUUGAGGGGAUGAGGAAGGACAGUACCCUCAGAAUAAGCCUCGGCUAACCACGUGCCAGCAGCCGCGGUAAAACGUAGGAGGCGAGCGUUAUCCGGAUUUACUGGGCGUAAAGCGCGUGCAGGCGGAUUGGAGAGUUGGAUGUGAAAGCUCCCGGCUUAACUGGGAGAGGCCGUUCAAUACUUCCAGUCUUGAGUGCAGUAGAGGGAAGUGGAAUUCCGGGUGUAGUGGUGAAAUACGUAGAUAUCUGGAAGAACACCAGUUGCGAAGGCGGUCUCUUGGUCCGACACUGACGCUGAGGCGCGAAAGCGUGGGGAGCAAACA